UACGAAGGGGGCUAGCGUUGUUCGGAAUCACUGGGCGUAAAGGGCGCGUAGGCGGCCGAUUAAGUCGGGGGUGAAAGCCUGUGGCUCAACCACAGAAUUGCCUUCGAUACUGAUUGGCUUGAGACCGGAAGAGGUCAGUGGAACUGCGAGUGUAGAGGUGAAAUUCGUAGAUAUUCGCAAGAACACCAGUGGCGAAGGCGGCUGACUGGUCCGGUUCUGACGCUGAGGCGCGAAAGCGUGGGGAGCGAACAGG
rnacentral:rRNA from 1 species